UUUCACCUUUCAGGGUUAGGCUGUUUGAUGGUGCCGGAUCAACUCUGAUCAAGACACUUCUCUCAGCAACUUGUUAAGAACCUUCUCACUAUUCUGGUGGUCCACAAGAUGACCUCCUUUUGUGCCUCUCCGAUUAGCUUUUCAUCUAGUUCCAGCUUAAUGGUGUUUUCGAAAAGAUGUGCCUCCACUAAUCCGUUUGUGGUUAUGACGAGGGGUAGGAUUGAUGUAGAGUAUCACAAUAUCCGGCCGGUUGUGCGCAAUGGGUCUGUCAGUGACGAGUGGAUGGUCCCAAUACAGUUUCAUUUCCUCAUUUUCCAGUAUUUCUUUAGGGCGAUGGCUUGGUGGUAUGCCUUUGCCAUGGCAUUGUGGCGGUCCGUGUAUUCCCUUGGAGCGAGGAUGGGGCAGGAUGACGUGACGUGUUGGAUUGUUUCAGUCGCCUGGGAGCAUUUGCGGCAUUUGUCAUUAGGUAAGUUCUUAUUCAUUAUCUGUUUUUGAUAUGCUUUUGUAGGUAUCACCUGAUCCUGAAUUGCCGCCAGUCUGCCCUCCGUUUCUGGAAACAGGGCGGUGGGGUAUCUUCCAUGGAGAGCUUUGCCGUGCCAUAUUUCGGAUAGUUCUUCGAUGCUUUUAGGUUCAAUGGGAUGGUUGCUUGAUGCCAGAUUUAAUGCUGUGAUGUUGUUGUCUUCAUCAGAUAUGGCUUUGAAAAAAGGUGAGUUUUUUGAUCUGAAGUAUUCUCUCAUCUCGCGUACUACUCGGUGGUGUGUGGAUUCAAUGUUUUGCAGUCCCCUUCCUCCAUCUUGUCUGGGCACGUAUAA